UACGUAGGGGGCAAGCGUUGUCCGGAUUUACUGGGCGUAAAGAGCGUGUAGGCGGCCAAACAGGUCCGUUGUGAAAACUGGAGGCUCAACUUCCAGACGUCGACGGAAACCGUGUGGCUAGAGUCCGGAAGAGGAGAGUGGAAUUCCUGGUGUAGCGGUGAAAUGCGUAGAUAUCUGGAGGAAUACCGGUGGCGAAGGCGGCGAUCCUGGACCGACAUUGACGCUGAUGAGCGAAAGCUAGGGGAGCAAACGGG
rnacentral:rRNA from 1 species